AUUGAACGCUGGCGGCAUGCUUUACACAUGCAAGUCGAACGGUAACAGGUUAAGCUGACGAGUGGCGAACGGGUGAGUAAUGCAUCGGAACGUGCCCGAUCGUGGGGGAUAACGCAGCGAAAGCUGCGCUAAUACCGCAUACGAUCUGAGGAUGAAAGCGGGGGACCGUAAGGCCUCGCGCGAUCGGAGCGGCCGAUGUCAGAUUAGGUAGUUGGUGGGGUAAAGGCCCACCAAGCCGACGAUCUGUAGCUGGUCUGAGAGGACGACCAGCCACACUGGGACUGAGACACGGCCCAGACUCCUACGGGAGGCAGCAGUGGGGAAUUUUGGACAAUGGGCGCAAGCCUGAUCCAGCAAUGCCGCGUGCAGGAAGAAGGCCUUCGGGUUGUAAACUGCUUUUGUCAGGGAAGAAAUCCUCUAGGUUAAUACCCUUGGGGGGAUGACGGUACCUGAAGAAUAAGCACCGGCUAACUACGUGCCAGCAGCCGCCGUAA
rnacentral:rRNA from 1 species